rnacentral:rRNA from 1 species
CCUACGGGUGGCAGCAGUGGGGAAUAUUGCACAAUGGGGGGAACCCUGAUGCAGCAAUGCCGCGUGAAGGAUGAAGGUUUUCGGAUUGUAAACUUCUUUUGUACGGGACGAAGAAAGUGACGGUACCGUAAGAAUAAGCCACGGCUAACUACGUGCCAGCAGCCGCGGUAAUACGUAGGUGGCAAGCGUUAUCCGGAUUUACUGGGUGUAAAGGGCGAGUAGGCGGGAUUGCAAGUCAGAUGUGAAAACUAUGGGCUCAACCGAUAGAGUGCAUUUGAAACUGCAGUUCUUGAGUGAUGGAGAGGCAGGCGGAAUUCCCGGUGUAGCGGUGAAAUGCUUAGAGAUCAUACAGAACACCGAUUGCGAAGGCAGCUUACCAAGCUACUUCUGACGUUGAGGCACGAAAGCGUGGGGAGCAAACAGGAUUAGAUACCCCAGUAGUC